rnacentral:rRNA from 1 species
AGAGUUUGAUCCUGGCUCAGGACGAACGCUGGCGGCGUGCCUAAUACAUGCAAGUCGAGCGGACAGAUGGGAGCUUGCUCCCUGAAGUUAGCGGCGGACGGGUGAGUAACACGUGGGCAACCUGCCCUGCAGAUGGGGAUAACUCCGGGAAACCGGGGCUAAUACCGAAUAAUCAGUUUCUCCGCAUGGAGAAACUCUGAAAGACGGUUUCGGCUGUCACUGCAGGAUGGGCCCGCGGCGCAUUAGCUAGUUGGUGGGAUAACGGCCUACCAAGGCAACGAUGCGUAGCCGACCUGAGAGGGUGAUCGGCCACACUGGGACUGAGACACGGCCCAGACUCCUACGGGAGGCAGCAGUAGGGAAUCUUCCACAAUGGACGAAAGUCUGAUGGAGCAACGCCGCGUGAGCGAAGAAGGUUUUCGGAUCGUAAAGCUCUGUUGUGAGGGAAGAACACGUGCGGGAGUAACUGCCCGCGCAUUGACGGUACCUCAUUAGAAAGCCACGGCUAACUACGUGCCAGCAGCCGCGGUAAUACGUAGGUGGCAAGCGUUGUCCGGAAUUAUUGGGCGUAAAGCGCGCGCAGGCGGUCCUUUAAGUCUGAUGUGAAAGCCCACGGCUCAACCGUGGAAGGUCAUUGGAAACUGGGGGACUUGAGUACAGAAGAGGAAAGCGGAAUUCCACGUGUAGCGGUGA